CGUGAGGAACCUGCCUUGGAGAGGGGAAUAACACUCCGAAAGGAGUGCUAAUACCGCAUGAUGCAGUUGGGUCGCAUGGCUCUGACUGCCAAAGAUUUAUCGCUCUGAGAUGGCCUCGCGUCUGAUUAGCUAGUAAGCGGGGUAACGGCCCACCUAGGCGACAAUCAGUAGCCGGACUGAGAGGUUGACCGGCCACAUUGGGACUGAGACACGGCCCAG
rnacentral:rRNA from 1 species